rnacentral:rRNA from 1 species
CACGGGGGGAGCAAGCGUUGUUCGGAAUCACUGGGCGUAAAGGGUGUCUAGGCGGCCAGAUAAGUCCGCUGUGAAAUCUCGAGGCUCAACUUCGAGCUGUCGGUGGAAACUGUCUGGCUAGAGUCCGGAAGAGGAGAAUGGAAUUCCUGGUGUAGCGGUGAAAUGCGCAGAUAUCAGGAAGAACACCCGUGGCGAAGGCGGUUCUCUGGGACGGUACUGACGCUGAGACGCGAAAGCGUGGGGAGCGAACAGG